GUGUGGGAAAGGGAGGAUGCGGAUCCCAUCGAACUCCGAAGUUAAGCGUGCUUGGGCGAGAGCAGUACUAGGAUGGGUGACCCCCUGGGAAGUCCUCGUGUUGCACCU
rnacentral:rRNA from 1 species